GCGACGCUGAGGCGGGCGCGCGCCUGAGGUGACGAGCGUGUCGCUGAGGGGAGGAGCGCGCCUGAGGAGGAGAGCGCUGAAGGAGCACGGCUUCCCUAGAGCAGAGCCGGGGUUUCCUUGCUGUUUAGCACAUCCUGAGGGGACUAGAUUUAAGGUAAGGACUUAGCUGUUAUGUAUGGAUAACAAUUAAGUAAGGCUCAUAGCAGUCAUCUGACUGUGUCAUGGAGAUUUUCGUGCCACCCAGGGCAAGGGGUUACUUGAUUUACCCAUUCUUUUCUAGGAGUCAGGGUUUCUUUUCUAGGAGUCAACGUUUCGUACCAUAAGGGUUUCAUACUUUGAGGGUUGUAAUAGUUCCUCUGCCUGCUCACACAGGUGUUGGGAUAAAAACCUUCCUUUCUUUUCUGGGUGGGUUGCUGCCAGGACCUGGUAGCCAAAAUCUGUGGGAAAGCCUGAGGAGAGAAACUUAAAACUUUGGGGGUUUUGUGUUUGUUUUGGAAGGUAUUACAACUUUUCUCGUCACCAAGACUGAGCAACAUGCAAAACUAAAUUUCUGCCCAAAUGUUUAAGAAAGAAAACACUAUUUUUUUGCCCAAUUAGAUCUAUUUGAGCAAGAAAACACAGUUUUUUGAAGAGAUAAGUGACUUACCGCAGUCACCUAAGAGGUGUGUGGCACAAGCAACUGUACCUGUGGGACAGGAGAUGGAUUGAAAGAGAAAUGAAGAAAACCAUACAAAUGUUCCCACCUGCAGUUAAAUCCUAUUCCCUUAGCUUGGGAGGCCCAUUCAGGGAUUGCAUGGAAUUAGAAGAGUCAAAAGCAGCGAAACCCUUUGCAGCUUUAUGUUGUUGUAGAGGCUAUUGGAAAUAUAAUAUAGAAUGCACAAGGAGGCAAUAGAGAGGUGAAAGAGUCCCAAGAUUUGACAUGUAGACUCAUCAUAGUGAGAUUUUCAGGAAUAUGUGAUACUAAAUAUAUAUUCUCACCACUGUUUACCUUUUUCAUAUACCUUGGAAGUAUUGUGAUUUCCACACUUCCAGGAAACUAUCAGUGUAUCUGAGAAAGAAAGAUUCAGUUCUGUGCAAGAAUGUUGCUUUACUCACCAGUUUAUGCUCCAGAAAAGCCUGGACAAUGCAAGAUUGUUACCAAUACAAGAAACAUUUUCUAAAUACAUGCGCAAUCAAGUUCAGCCCUUUUGUAGUUUGCUCCCCUGAAGCUGUUCCUGUGCCUUUCACUACACAGCAUAUCUCACCAUGAGCAGUUCAUCCAAUGUUUCAUAGCAAUUUGUAUCCCUUGUGUUAUCUAUUAAUUUAAUUUUGACCAAAACAAUUCUCCUCUUGAGCUGUUUUCGCUCAGUAUGCAUUGCACUAGAAAUUACCUUAUUUAAUUGUGAAGUAGCUCUG